rnacentral:rRNA from 1 species
UACGUAGGGACCAAGCGUUGUCCGGAAUCAUUGGGCGUAAAGAGCGUGUAGGCGGUUUGUUAAGUCUUGCGUGAAAUCUCGGGGCUCAACCCCGAGCGGUCGUGAGAAACUGGCAGGCUAGAGUGCGGGAGAGGAGAGUGGAAUUCCUGGUGUAGCGGUGAAAUGCGCAGAUAUCAGGAAGAACACCCGUGGCGAAGGCGGCUCUCUGGGCCUUACCUGACGCUGAGGAGCGAAAGCGUGGGGAGCGAACAGG